rnacentral:rRNA from 1 species
GUAAAGAACUUGCCUCACAGCUAGGGACAACAUUUGGAAACGAAGCUGAUACCUGAUAUUAUGAUUUUAAGGCAUCUUAGAAUUAUGAAAGCUAUAUGCGCUGUGAGAGAGCUUUUGCGUCCCAUUAGCUAGUUGGAGAGGUAACGGCUCACCAAGGCGAUGAUGGGUAGCCGGCCUGAGAGGGUGAACGGCCACAAGGGGACUGAGACACGGCCCUUACUCCUACGGGAGGCAGCAGUGGGGAAUAUUGGACAAUGGACCAAGAGUCUGAUCCAGCAAUUCUGUGUGCACGAUGACGUUUUUCGGAAUGUAAAGUGCUUUCAGUUGGGAAGAAAAAAAUGACGGUACCAACAGAAGAAGUGACGGCUAAAUACGUGCCAGCAGCCGCGGUAAUACGUAUGUCACAAGCGUUAUCCGGAUUUAUUGGGCGUAAAGCGCGUCUAGGUGGUUAUGUAAGUCUGAUGUGAAAAUGCAGGGCUCAACUCUGUAUUGCGUUGGAAACUGUGUAACUAGAGUACUGGAGAGGUAAGCGGAACUACAAGUGUAGAGGUGAAAUUCGUAGAUAUUUGUAGGAAUGCCGAUGGGGAAGCCAGCUUACUGGACAGAUACUGACGCUAAAGCGCGAAAGCGUGGGUAGCAAACAGG